rnacentral:rRNA from 1 species
GACGAACGCUGGCGGCGUGCUUAACACAUGCAAGUCGAACGGAAAGGCCCGGCGUUUGUGGGGUGCUCGAGUGGCGAACGGGUGAGUAACACGUGAGUAACCUGCCCUUGACUUUGGGGUAACUUCAGGAAACUGGGGCUAAUACAGGAUAGGAUCUCCUGCUGCAUGGUGGGGGUUGGAAAGUUUCGGCGGUUGGGGAUGGACUCGCGGCUUAUCAGCUUGUUUGUGGGGUAGUGGCUUACCAAGGCUUUGACGGGUAGCCGGCCUGAGAGGGUGACCGGCCACAUGGGGCCUGAGAUACGGCCCAGACUCCUACGGGAGGCAGCAGUGGGGAAUAUUGCACAAUGGGCGGAAGCCUGAGGCAGAAGCGCCGCGUGCGGGAUGACGGCCUUCGGGUUGUAAACCGAUUUCGCAUGUGACGAAGAGUGAGUGACGGUAAUGGGUAAAGAAGCACCGGCUAACUACGUG